rnacentral:rRNA from 1 species
GAUGAACGCUAGCUACAGGCUUAACACAUGCAAGUCGAGGGGUAACGAGAGGAAAGCUUGCUUUCCUUGUCGACGACCGGCGCACGGGUGAGUAACGCGUAUCCAACCUGCCCCCAACUAGGGAAUAACCUUGCGAAAGUAAGACUAAUACCCUAUAAUUUCCUCAGAUGUCAUCUGACGAGGAAUAAAGAUUUAUCGGUUGUGGAUGGGGAUGCGUCUGAUUAGCUUGUUGGCGGGGUAACGGCCCACCAAGGCAACGAUCAGUAGGGGUUCUGAGAGGAAGGUCCCCCACAUUGGAACUGAGACACGGUCCAAACUCCUACGGGAGGCAGCAGUGAGGAAUAUUGGUCAAUGGGCGGAAGCCUGAACCAGCCAAGUAGCGUGAAGGAUGACGGCCCUAUGGGUUGUAAACUGCUUUUAUACUGGAAUAAAGUUAGCCACGUGUGGUUAUUUGUAGGUACUGUAUGAAUAAGGACCGGCUAAUUCCGUGCCAGCCGCCGCAGUAA